UACGAAGGGGCUAGCGUUGUUCGGAAUCACUGGGCGUAAAGGGUGCGUAGGCGGAUUCUUAAGUCAGGGGUGAAAUCCCGAGGCUCAACCUCGGAACUGCCUUUGAUACUGGGGAUCUUGAGUCCGGAAGAGGGUGAGUGGAACUGCGAGUGUAGAGGUGAAAUUCGUAGAUAUUCGCAAGAACACCGGUGGCGAAGGCGGCUCACUGGUCCGGAACUGACGCUGAGGCACGACAGCGUGGGGAGCAAACAGG
rnacentral:rRNA from 1 species